AGAAGCUGGAUUCCCGCGGAGAAGGGAGCCCGAUGUGGGACUCGAUCCCAGGACCCUGGGAUCAUGACCCGAGCCGAAGGCAGACGCUUAACGACUGAGCCAUCCAGGCACCCUCAUUCAAUACUUUUUGAGCACAUACAUGAUCAGGGCAGAGGCUUUCUGGCUCAUGCACUGAAGAUGAGAUGGCAGUACAUCUUGUGGCGUGGAUAAACUCAACUGGGAAGAGUACUCCUGUCAUGGACCCUCAGAUGAACAAG